AAAAAGGCAAAAUUUGCAACAAUAUGAAUGUAUACAACAUAGUUGUAAGCAUUGCUUUCGUUGCAUGUCAAAGACCAUAAUAUAAUAUUACAAAGUGUAUAUAUGCAACAACCUAAUUCAUUGCGACAAAAAAUGUUCAAAAAAUAAUGGUUGCAACAUAUGCAAACAUAAAAAGUCGCCUCUGGAAUCAUCCGACGUGACACGCAUAGCCGUAUGAUCUCUUUGCCUUUGUGCCCGCUCCGAUGCAGCCGUGCCAUGCAAACGCUUCUCGCAGUGUCACUUGCUUCUGACUCCAUGGCAGUCAUACCAUCACCACACUGACAACAUCGUGUAUAUCUCUUAUUGAACAUAUAAAGCCCGCUAGAGUACCCGCCAUUCUAGGGGCCUUCGCGGCGCACAUGCAUUCUGGCCGUACGAUCUGCCUCGCUGGCCCGAUUUUACGGUGCUGUCAAAAAUCCCGCGGUUAGUUUCUUUGAACAUUGAUCUUUCAUGCUGCAGCGGAUGACGUGUGGGGCUCCUUUCCUCAUGGGCCCGUUUUGCAAUUACAUUGAGAAGAAACCUCAGGGUCCCGUCCGUUCUACGCGCUGUGGAAUCGGGUGAAAACCUAGCUGCAAUCCCCUCACAUCCUCGAUCCCCCAGACCCCAUGCCUCGUCUCUCCUCUCCUCCUCACGACCACCGCCGCCGCCGCGCUCCUUCUCCUCCUCCUUCUCUUCCUGGCGCUGCCUCUCCUCCUCUCGUACUACCGGAUCCUCCCGUGUGCCGGCUUCUCCUCAAAGAGAAGGGUCACAUCCCGCAGGAGAAGAGGGGCGGCGCGGCAAAAUUGAGGAGUAGCAUCGCAGCUAGGUCUUGACGGUGGAGGUUGAGGAGCAGGGGAGGCCGGUGGUGGGGUGAAGGAGUAGUGUGACCGGUGACCGGGGCAAGAAGCAGCGAGACAGCGCUCCCAUCGCACUGCGGUGGAGCUGCAGGGAAGAAGGGGUGGUCAGCCCUUGUUCAUCAUGGCCGCCAUUGGCUUGCAGUUAUGCUCCGACUAGGUUGUUCUUUCUCUAACUUAGGCUAUGGUUGCAACCGUUGGCUGUUAUGUUAGGUCUUGAUGUAUUUGCUUUUUUAUAGGCUUAUAGUUUGAAAAACCAUAUACAAUGAUUCCUAAUUUGAUGCCAAUAGCUCGUGUGCUGAUUACCAGAGGCAACAGCACGGCCGUGGAGUACAUGUACAUCAACGCCGACAGUGCCGGCAGCAACGACACGAGGUGGGAGAUUUGACCAGCGCAACAUUCUUGUGUUUUCAUUUAGACAUUGAGGAAAGAAUCUGGUCCUUGUCUUUCCAUGCACGCCUGUAUAUUUAGACAUUCUUGUUUUUAUGUAUGCAUACACAUAGAAGAUAUUAAAUAUGUCUGAAACAUGUGAAAGCAAGCAUACUUUUACUGGGCUUGAAACAUAUCGGACCUCUGCUGCUCACAAUAUCUAGGGGAAAUUCUAAAUGCCCAAUUUGAUCAAUUUUUUAGUUUAAUAAAGGUUGUCCCUGAUUGUCAGUCUCUUAGGUACAGUAUGCUAGUUCAAUAAAGGCCAUUCCUGUCCUUAGCUUAAUAGGUACAAUGAGCUUUUCAAUUUCUCAUUCUCAUCUUGCUUAGAGUGAUUUUAUCUUCGUCUUUAUGCACACAACUUUUAUGAUUUCAGUCUCCAGAUGAAGCUUUUGUGGCCAGCAAUGAAAACUGCUUAAAGAUGAGCCCGCCUAGCCACCAGUCAUCCCCAACCCUACUCCUCAAGCCAUUCUUGUCUCUACAGGCAGGUGAGCUCUUUCCUCGUCCCCCCUCUCUCUUUUGAAUUUAUGCUGGUAGAUGUGUUUGCUGUAGGUUCUGCUGCUGCCAGGCUUGGCUGCUGCUUGGCCUAACUCUACUUCUGCUGCUGCUAUGUGCUACUAUAUGUUGUUGGUUGCCUCCUUGGUUAUUUGUGAAUAUGAAAACACUUUGUGAGAAGCACGGAUUGAAGAGAAGGCUAUGAGCCAAUGAGAAGAGCUUCAUUUUCAGUUUUUUUAAGCAUUGAUGAAGGACGUGUCAUAUGUUCAGUUGCUAACAUUCUCUCUAUGGUGUAUGCACUUGUUGUUCAUUGCAUUGGAGGGAGAGGAAAACUCUUUGUGAGAAGCAAGGAUUGAAGAGAAGGCUAUGAGCCAGUGACAAAACCCGAACUUUAAUUAGUUUUUUAUUUAAGAAUUGAUGAAGGAUAUGUCAUAUGUUCAGUUACAUACAUAUUCUCUAUGGUGUAUGUACCUGCUGUUCAUUGCAUUCGAGGGAGAGGACAACAAGAGUAAGAAUGUCUUGCGGCGUGAAGGCAGUAGCACGCAGCGCCAAGUCAAGCGCAUUGGCCUCGAUGGCAAGAGACCAGUACCAUCAGGUUCGCUUGACUGCUUGCUAGGUUAGUGGUUCAUCUCUUAUUCUUCUUCAUGUAGGAAAUAUAAGGUGCGCAUAUAGAAGAGUCCAUACUGGGCAUCCUUUUCUUUUUUAGUUUUUGCAAUCCAUGGCAAAGUGUGUUAUAUAUUUUCAUAAUUCUUACCACUUACUUAUUUUUUCAGCAGUAUAGAUUUAAAUGCAGUGACGCGUGUUUAUACUUUGCAGCCUAGCAUUGAACAAUACCCUUAAUAAAGCUACAUGGUGGACGCUAAUUGUCAUAUUUUGACCGACAAAUCUGUUUGAAUAGAUUAUACAAGAUUGAUGUGAUUAUCAGAUGAUUGCAGUCUACCCCAGGGUGAGUUUAUCCUUUUGGUUUAUGCAAAAAUGCUUAUUUGGCUUCAUGUGUAACAUGAUUUUUUAGCAUCUAAUAUUUGUUCUGUCCAACAGAGUACACGAGAAAGAAGUGCUACUGCUACAUUACUGCUGCUUGCCAAGGGAAAAGAGAGUUCCAUUGUAAAAUGAGAUGCCAGGUAUUGAGGGCUAGACUGUACAUGGCAAAGAUUAAUUUGUUAUGGUGAAGCCAAAGCUUUAGUGUUUGAGUCAUUGGGUGUCAUCUUUGUUAACUUAUUGUUAAGCAUAUCUACUAUGUACUUUGUCCCACAUAAAUGAUUGAGAAAAACUCUGCUUUUUAUGACAUCAUGACUCACUGUCAUUUCUAAAUAUUUGAAUCUUAUAUUGAUGUUUCGACCGUGGAUGCCAAAACAUCACAGUUUGCCUGAUAGAGUGAAUCCAUUAUAAAAUAAAGCUCCUUCCAUCAAUUAGAUAGAUUUUAUGAAUUUGAUUUUUCUAUUUUGAAGAUGCAUAUUGGUUAUUUGGAUGCUUUCGUUUAAAGAUUUGCAUAGAUCAAUGAGGAUUCGUGCGGCAGGGAGGGGACUGGUGAUAGGAAACAUGGGUCCAAGAAGAAAUCAAAGAGCAUGGUGAGUUGUUCUCCCUUUUGAAAUUUAAAACCUAGACUAGAAUCAGUCAAUUGUAAUUUGGCAAUAUGAUUAGGAUAGCAUAAUAUUUUGCUACUACCUUGCUAAUAGCUUCGCGAGGUAAUUAUGUCAGCUAUAUAUGUGUUUAUUUUUUACUGUAGUGAGAUCGCUUAUUUUAAUUUAGAAAAUAGAAACAUGAAGUGUGGUUAUGAGAAUCUAAUAACAGAUGUUCUUAGCAUGAACAAGCUCUGUAAUGUACCUACUGACUAAUAGCACAAUCGAAUCCUUCCUGAGCUUCGUCAGCCAGUCAUGACUUGGCAUGCCUGGUUUUACUUUACGAAGAGUAGUAUGUGGUGCUCUAAUAUUCAACCGUGUUCUUGAAUUGGGAAUUAUGUUUAUAAUAGUUGAAGUGCUUGUGUUUUAGUCUGUUGUAUACAAGUGAAAGAAAAUAAAAAACGGAUGGAGGAAGGGAACUUCUGCUUUUCUUUUCCUUUUGUUUCUCUGUUUGAUAAUUACUCCCUGUGAUGGGAAGGUUUGAGAAUAGAAACGUCCUACUCUUUUAUCCCUUUUAGUGUGAACGGCUCGACGGCAAGCGUGGCUAUCUGCUCCUCACUCUAUUGGUUGUGUCUCUGUCUUCCCCGUGCGCUGCGCCACACGCCUAUUUGUGGCUUGCGUGCUGCUGCUGCGUUUAUGGUGUGUUGUCUUGAUGUGUGUGUGUGUGCACUAGCUAAGCGACGAUCACUGGCUCACUUCUCUCUCUCUCUCUGUCUCUCUGUAGCUUCUUAGGGAAAACAUACUUUUCCUCUCGCCUGGAUCAUGCUUCUAGCAUCUUUCUAGGCAGGUAGAUGUUUCCAAGAUCAAGAGAGAAAAGGUUCUUGCAUGUAUAUACUUUUAGGUGACACAUGACCAGAAGUCUUUCCUAUGAAAAUCAUGUGGUCUUGUGACGCCCCGACCCUUUUCUUCAGAAAUUUGCGAUGUGUUUAUGCAUGUCUGUGUUGUGAUGUGCUCAUGUGCAUAUGAGCAUGAUUUGUUCUGGCACUUUAGGCAUUAGCACACCUAUAAUACCAUUUUCUAAUAUCUGACAUUUGUAUAUUUAUAUUGGCUGCGCCUAGCUUUUGGGAUAUAAUUUUGAAGGGUAUUCUUCCCAUAUGAUCAGUUCUGCGACAUGCACUCAUUUUUACUGCGAUGAAUGGUGUCUAAGUCUCCCUCUCUCUCACCCUCUCUGUGUGCCACUCUCUCUGAGAUUUGAAGGUAAGUUAUUAUUUCCUGUUAUCAAUCAUGGGGAUGUUACGAUUUCUAUUUAUUUCUGCGGUGGCCAAUAAAAUCUGACAAGAAGUUGUUAUCCACCUCCUUCCAUGAUGGCGAACCUCCAACUAUUGUUUCUUUUCCGGUAGGAUAUGCAUUUGAUCCAAUCCAUGUCUUGGCUUCUUUUUGAUGUGUGUAUUGCUAUGUUCUUCUUCCAGGUAUUGUUCAAUCCAUCAGUAGCUAGCGGAUGUCGUGCCGUGAUUAAGAUUUGCCACCUUCCUUUGCUACAUCGCUUAGUUUUAUGGGCCAUUCUUAGAAUACUAUGUGCUUGCUCUUUUUGGCUGUGGCAUGUGAAUAUGAUGCUUACCAACAUUAUUGUAGAAUUAGUUUCUCGGUGAUGUAAAACUUAUAGCUAUUAAAGGAAGCCCUUGGUUUGUAUUAAGUACUUGUGACAUUUGGUGGAACUGUAUGAAAAAUAGUGAAAGAAUACAAAUUACCAAUGAUGUAGUUACAUAGAGAGAAGAUACUCACAUGUCACAUCAUAUUCCCACACGCUCCUCUUCUCAAUUGCUAAACUUAAUAUUAGUUCAAGCUUCUUUUGUUAUGCUGUCAACAAUGUCAAUUGGUGCAACAGGUGCCACCCUAAGAAAUUGAGAUUAGCUAAUAUGUUAUUCUGUAACAACACUCAGGUUCUUGAAACAAACAAGAUGAGAAUUUAUUUAAACAUGAUAGUAUAUUACCUACUUUAAAUCCUCCAAUAUAAUGGUCGACAUUAAUGGUGUAAACAUCCGCUCACAAGUAGUUUCAACAGAAGUGUUAUGAGCUGCAAAGUAAAUGAAUAGAGCAUUAAACCAGGCAAACUGCAAAAGAAAAAUCUUCACACAGUAUUUUUUAUCAUACAAGCAAUUGAAAUAACAGGCAUAUGAGAUUCUAGGAAAGACACAUACUUUCCCCAAUACUUCUUAACAACAUCAAUUGCUUUUCCUUACUCGUCUGCCCUAUGAAACUGAGUAUGUCUAAACUGGGUUCGAAGUUACACGGAUAGAUGUAAGGAACUGAUAAAUUUACCAAUACAGGGUUCAAUGAGGUCGAGAUCAUACACCUUAUGGGUCAACAACAUAGGGUUCCAUGCAAUCUCAAGAUCAUGUGAAUUCAUCUGUCCAUGUCCGCCACAACUCCCGCAGCGCCAUGCAUCUCGCUGCACCAAGCACGAGCGAAUUCAGGCCACUUAAAAAGGACAUCAUAGCAUGGCGACUGUGGAUUUUUCUUAUUAAAAGUUCAAAACGACGCAGUUAACUCAGCAACCACACACCUCUGUCCCCAACUUGCAUAUGAGGUUUUUUUAAUUAGGAAUUAUAUAUAGACAAACUAUAUGAGGCUUCUUUUUUAUUAGGAACUGGUCUUCAAUUACAUGUUUGAGAAAGUUUCCCAUUAACAACCUAGCUAUAAUGUGUACAAAUGAUAUAAUACUAUGAAAUAGGCAAAAAUGGUAUCUAGUUGAGAAAAUUGUUUAUUUAGAUGCCUAAAACAAACAAACAAAAACAAGCGAUAUAACCCUAACCGGAUAUUCACUUGCAAGAUGAGGCUUGUAGAGAUCAUAAACAUGAGUCAUGUGAGAAGCUCUAUAUUUGCUUUCGAAAGAAAUAGAUGCAUUUGGACCAAUAAGCAUAGAACCUGUAGCAGCUCCACCCAUAGGCCGAGCUGGCCCCUCUGCAUAAACCUGAAUAUAAUAUGGGACAUCAAAUGAGUGCUGCACGGAGAUAAAAGGAAGAGAAAUUGAAUCCACUUAGUGCAACAGUUAGAUGGCCAUAUUGGGUGACUAACCGUGCUAUCUAUGCAGACUACAAGGACAGAACGUUCAUCCCAACAUCGACUUUCGACCGAAGUUACACCAAUUCAAGAGGGAGGUUGUUCCACCAUAACAUGCAUUACUGGAGUCAAACUUCCUCAAUGUCACUAUUUCCACUUUCCUGUAUUUGUGACAAGUGUCAAUGGUAGUGAUUGAGUGAGUGAGACUGAGACUGAACUAACAAACAACUAAAAGAGCUGGAAAACGUGAAUUCAUCAAGAUCAAGGUUUAGAGGGUGAAUAUAUGUGGGAUGCUAUUCCAUGAUUUACCACAAAAAAUUGCAUCAGCCAUGUUUUGAUGGAUUUACUUUUGUCUAUCACUGUCUCGCUACCAACCACAAGGUGGCCAAUUAGCUUCAAAUCAAUGUGGUACUUUUCCAGCAGGGAUUUGACAAUUGUCAAGCUGACACAACUUUCCAACUUGAGCAUUCAGAUACCGAACAGAGCAUUGCAUUAAAUAUAUAUGUAUUUGAUCUAAUUUCUUAGUAAAUUCUACUCAUCAAGAAGUCAUCCCCAAAUUGCCUCUCCCUUCAUACAGAGCUGCCUUGCCGUGCACACCAGGUUCGACCAGAUCGAGAACACACCCUUCCUCUGACGGAGACGAUGGCCUGCAACUCACAACCAGACCAUACUCACCAAAAUGACUAACAACAAAAACAAUAUCACCACUAAAACCUUUUGACAAAAUCGAAAGACACCACCAUAGCCUACUGACAGAAACAUCACCACCGACAAUCCAACGCCACAUCAUCACCACACAAACUGGAUAAGAAGCAAGAUAAAUCCUCAUAGAAGAAAAGAAAUGCCAUACCGUGUUGCCCCAAAAGACACAACAGAGGAAGCAGAAAAAGACCCGGCGUAGAGCAGCCUCCCCAGCCUGAAGAAGCAAUGAAGAUCCUCAUUGAAAUGAUCAGAACAAUUUUUUAGAGCAAACAUAGUAAAACAAAAUCCGUUUUACUGAAAUCUCAAGCAUGUUUUGGCUGUUUUCUGCAACAAUAGCAACAAAAAAAUCACUAUCAAAGAAGACAGGCGGUGCAGAAGCUACCAUACCUGCAGAUAUACUUGUGACGGUGGAGUCGCCGACAAGACCGUGAGGUCGCCGGCAAGGAGACCCACCUCUGCUCAAAGACACCGGCUCCCACGCACUGCUGGGAUGUGGGCAACCACGAGCAUGCUCGUCGGGAGGCAUCCUCAAUCGUUGGCGAUGGCUGCCUUCCCUGAAAACGAGGGCUCUGCUGGUGAGGUCCGAGAUCCCGAUUGGAGAGGAGAGGAGGUGGCGGCCGCUCAAGCCGACGCUGGCAACAGGCGGUCGACUCGAGUGUCCGGGCCUGCCGUUGGGCAGCGCCACAGUACAGGAGGCGAGGCCCCUCUUGCUCCCGAACAACGGUGCGCAUCAGCGGAGGCUGGAAAACUAGGGGCGGGAAGAUAAAGAGGGGAGAGGUGCCAGCCGGACUGAGAUCCCGUGCCCCGCUCAAGGCAGGGCACGCUGUGCCCUGAGGCCCACGAUCCACCAUCCGCUCCCCAUCCGACAAACUGCAGCGAGUCAACCUAAAAAGACCAGUCCGCUCGAUCCUUGCACGCCAGACAGCCUAAACCACGGGAAACGAAGCGCACAGCAAAGGACUCUCGCGCGGGAACUGCCGUGGAGCUGUGCCAUCGUCGCCGCCAUGGGGAAGGGCGCCAUGGGAUCUCCGGCGGCGGCCACUGGAUAAACGGCGCCGGCAAUCCCCUCCACCCACGGCUUCUCAUCCCCGCCCCGCUCCGACGAGCUCCGACGACCGCGUCCGUCCUCCCGCGUCCGCCCUCCCGCCCCGCUCCGACGAGCUCCGACGAGCUCUCAGCUCCGAUGACCGCGUCCCCUCAACCGAGGUUCUUCCCUACGACCCCUGCGACCACUCCAGUACAGAGCAGGUUAUCCCCUGUCCGUCCUCUGUCCGUCCCCUGUGUGUCCUUUGUAUAUGUAUAUUUCGAAACUGAAAAUUGCGCUUGCUUGUUAGUUUAGUACUGAAAAUUAGCCAUGUCAUUGGAUUGUUAUUUCAAUACUGAAAAUAGUGCUGGAAAAAUUUCUGGUUGUGUGUUUCUUUACCAUAUAAUGUCUCCAUUGUCAUGCAUUAAUCUGAGUUUUGAUUGAUGUGUUUAUUGUCUUAUUUUACAGAAUUCCGGAUGAUUAGUGUGCUAUGCAAUUGUGAGUGUUGUGCAUUUGCAAGUGUUCUGCAAUGGGGGAAAUUGAUAAGGGGAUGCCUCAAAUUGGCAUGAGGUUUAGAAAACCGGAUGAAGCUUGGCUAUUUUGGGUUGCAUAUGGAGGCCGUGUUGGGUUUGAUGUGAGGAAGAGAAACAAACAUGUAAGCAAGAUGGAUGGUCAAGUGACUUCAUGCAAAUUUGUUUGUUCCAAUGAGGGUAUAAGAAAGAAAGGGAUAACAAUCGAUCAUGAGCCAAAGCGUGUUAGAGCUGAAACAAGAACAAAUUGCAAAACUCGCAUGAUUAUAUCACUCGAUCGAGUAGCAAUGAAUUACGAAGUCACAGAUCUUGUGUUGGAACACAAUCAUUACCUUCAAUUGCCACAAACAUGUCACUUGAUGGCAUCACAACGGAAGAUUUCGGAACUACAAGCUUUUGAAAUAGAAGCUGCCAAGGAUUCUGGAAUCAUGCCCAAAGCUGCACAUGAGCUUGCUUGUCGUCAAGUUGGUGGACCAUUUAAUCUCGGCUACACUUGUCGUGAUCAAAAGAAUUAUUUGCGAAGAAAGCGGCAAAGAGAGUUGGCUUUCGGUCAAGCCGGUAGUAUGUUGAAGUAUUUUCAUGACAAAAUGAUUGAGAACCCAUCUUUCCAAUAUUCUUUGCAGUUGGAUUGUGAGGAAGAUAUAGCCAACAUAUUCUGGGCUGAUGCUAAAAUGGUUCUUGAUUAUGCACACUUUGGUGAUGUUGUCACAUUUGAUACAACAUUUGGCACAAAUAAAGAAUAUAGGCCAUUUGGUGUUUUUCUUGGACUCAAUCAGUUUAGAGAAACAACCAUUUUUGGUGCAGCCUUGCUAUUUGAUGAAACAUGUGACUCAUUUACAUGGCUUUUUGAGACUUUUCUAGCUACACAUAAUGGGAGGCAACCUAGAACUAUUUAUAUGGAUCAAGAUGCGGCAAUGGGGAAAACUAUAGAGAAAGUCUUCACGGGGUCAUAUCAUGGAUUGUGCACCUUCCAUAUAAUGCAAAAUGUUGUUAAGCAUUUAUGUCCAUUGAAGGGUGAAGAAAAAGAUGAAGAGGAGGGUGAAGGCAGUGGUGAAGAUGAAGAGUCUCAUAUUCUCACAGAUUUUGGUGAAUGCAUGUAUGGCUAUGAGGACAAAGUAGAGUUUGAAGAGGCAUUUAACAAUAUGAGAAGUAAAGUGCACAAGCAAACUUGCUUAGAUAGUAUCUACAAGUUGAAAGAAAAAUGGGCUGAAUGUUACAAGAGAGAUGUGUUCAGUUUGGGAGUGAGAAGUACACAACUUAGUGAGAGCUUCAACAAUUCAUUGAAAAAUCAUUUGAAAUAAGAUUUUCAUAUUGUUCGGUUCUUGAUGCAUUUUGAGAGGACAGUGGAGGUAAAAAGAACAAUGGAAUUGCAAUCUGAAUUUGAUCAAAGGAAGAAGUUGCCAAGAAUCCUGAUGCACACACCUAUGUUGGUGCUAGCAAGCAAAGAAUACACUCCAAUUAUCUUUGAAUCUUUUCAAAGUGAAUAUGAGAGAUCCAUGGCUGCAUGCGCUAGAGUGUUGGAUGGAAAUAACAAAUUUGGGGUUUCUAUCAGGAGUUUGCAUGGUGGAGGAGCGCAUGGUGAUUGGUGAUCAUUUGACCAAAACAACUUCAUGUAGUUGUGGAAUGUUCAAUCGGACAGAAAUAUUGUGUGGACAUGGUCUCAAAGUUCUUGACUUGAUGAAUAUAAAGACAUUACCAACACAUUAUGUCUUAAAGAGAUGGACUAGAGAAGCACGCAAUGAAAGCAUACAAGAUAGACAAGGAAGGAAUGUGGUAGAGAAUCCAAAGUUUGAAGCUCAACUUUGGUACAGGGGUGUGUCUCACAAGUUUCACACUAUGGCAGCUAAAGUAGCCAACUCUCUUGAGUGUCGUUUGAUACUAGAAGAUGCACUUGAUUGCGUUGGUCCACAACUAGAGGAGAAACUCAAUGCAACUAUGGAUGCUACGAACAAGCCAUGUGAUGACCAAGAAAAUGUUGACCCAAAUGUGCAACUAACUAGUGAGUUUCUUAGUGCCGCAAAGCUCAAGAAAAAAGAGGUUCAAUCAAAAAACUUGAGGAGAAAGAGAGGUUGGCUUGAUAAGUUACUCAGGGGGAAGCCCAAACUAACUAAAGGUGCCUCAUCCAAAAAAAAGCAGCAAAGGUAUGUUCCCAUCUAUACAUGAUAUAUUGUUACCACUCAUUCCUAGACUAAAUACUGGAAUUUUCAUGGUAGCAAUAAAAGAAAAAUGAUGGCGCACGGCCUCAAGUAAGAGUGGAGAAGGAUGAUGUUGUACAACCUCAAGCAAAUAUCAGUUACACACAACUGUUGAUGGCUCCCCCUGGUGGUGUUUAUGAUGAAGAUCUGUUCUAACAUGUACAAGCUUGUUAGAUAGUAUUUUGGACAAUUUGACUAGUAUUUUGGACAAAGAUGACUAUAGUAUUUUGGGUUUUGGGGGCUGACUAUAGUCUUUCGUGGCCUAAGUGUGCAAGUAGAUUGACCUAAUUUAUGUACUUCAAGGAUUAUGUAAGAGCAGAUUGUUGUUGCCAAAUUUGAGUUACUAAUGCUCAAAGUUUGUACAUUGUUCAAUUCAUUUUGAUUUUAUUUUCUAAUUGAUUGUAUAAUGAAUGCCUCAGUUCAACUCUUCUUCAGUUCAUUUUCGGUACUAAAUUCUGCAGAUUAAACACUUUAUUGAUGCUGUCUCUAUUUUCAUUUUACUGAUUUUUGUAUCCUGGAGUUAUCCAGUGCUAACUGCUAACUGAAUUUGUUGUUCGUGUGUAGUACAGACAUGUCCUCGCUACUUCUGUCCAGGGCGCCCGUGGCAGUCGGAGCGGGCGGGCGGACGGGCCGUCAAAACAUGCGGAGGCAGCCGCCAGAGGGCAGGCGGACGGAGCAGCCAGAGGUGGGCGGCCGUCGAGGUCGUUUCCUCAUGUCCUGGAGGAGCAGCCGGAGCAGGUCGUCUCCCUUCCCCUCGGCGACGGGACCAACAGCUCGCCUCGCGUCGUCGCGCGUGGAACAGAGGAAGGGGACGCCAGCGAACCAUGGACGGCGGCGGCGGACGGCCAUCUCUUCCGUCGGCAGCGGCGACAGGUGCCUCCGCCGCGGACGAACCUCGGGACGCGCGGGUGAUUCGGGAGCUCCUCCGCUCGAUGGGGCUCGACGAGGGCGAGUACAAGCCGCGCGUCGUGCAUCGCGUGCAUGAGAAAGAGAAAAGAUUGAGCGGACUGGUCCAAUUUUAGGUUGACUCGUUGCAAUCCGUUGGAUGGGAAGAUGGUGGAUUGUGGGCCUCAGGGCACAGCGUGCCCUGCCUUGAGCGGGGCACGGGAUCUCAGUCCGUGCCAGCCACCAUGCGCUGGGAUUUCAAGAUCGGAGGAGGAGAGAAGCGAGGGGGAGAAGCAGCGAAGAGACGACAAUGCAGAGGAGCGACACGUGCUGCUCGCUGCACGCCGUCCUCCUAUCCCCACGCCACUUUGCACUACACCGCUUAAAGAAACGGCCAACAAGACCAGAAACUCCGAAGAGUACCCGAGCUCGCUUGCUCUCACUCAAAAGUGUCCAUCCCACGUCAGCCUCUCCAAUGCAUCCCGUAUUUGAUUUUUUAUUAGGCCUAAUUAAUCCCAACCUACUAGAAAACUUACGAUGUGCUAGGGCAUUUUUUGCAUGGCCAACAUGAACAAAUCCCAAUUUUCAAAUUGUAAAAUGUAGUCGCAUUUUUUGCAUGGUGAACAUCAACAAAUCCUAAUUUGCAAACAUUUAAAUGUAAUCAUCAUUUGCACAACGAACAUGAAAAUUUCUUAUUUUGCAAAUUAUGAAAUGUUAUCGUCCCAAAUCUGCUACGAUAGGGCUUUUUUUGCACCGCUAAGAGCAUCUUCAACAGAAGGUCCAAAUGUAAAAAUAUCUAACUUUUGGAUCGUCUGGGGCAAAAAACGUUGUUUCAACAGACGGUCCAUAUGUAAAAAAAUUUAAACCGUGGCCUCCCGGUGAUGUAAAAUACAACACCUCGCGGUGCAAAUUUACAUCACGAGAUACAACUGGUCCAAAUUCAGCGACUGCCCGCCAACGCCCAACCGCCCUUCAUUUCAUUUCACAGCCUCGCCUGUCCGCCCGCCCGAACACCAAUCGGUCGGAAUCCGCUGCCGCCACCGCCCAAAUCCUCGCCGCCGUCGCCGCCACCGCCCCAAAUCGCCAGCGCCGCCCUCCGCCGCCCUUGCCCCCAUCGCCUCCCUCGCCGGAAGCCGUCUCGCAGCCGCCCGGGCGCCGCCAAAUCGGGAGGCAGCCGCGGUGGGAUUCGGCACCUCCGGUGGUCCGGCUGCCCAUGUAGGCCUCCGCCGGGUCCUCAGGCCGCCGCCCGCCGCUGCUCGCUGGCCCGCCCCGUUGCCACCGCCUCCCGGCCCCGCCGCCGCCCCGCACUGACCCUGUCUAGCCGAGCUGCCGUCGCUGCUGGCCCGUGCAGCGUGCCUGUGCUGCUGCUCGUGGUGUUCGCGUCGGCUGCUACCCGCCUUCGUCGCUGCUGGCUGGCAAAGGAGCACAUACAGGGGAGGUCGGGCUCCGGCCUUGGCGACCAUGGACGAGCACGGGAGCGGUGGCAAAAGACACCGAUCGAAGGGGAAAAAUAGGGGGAUUGGGAGAGGAGCUCAUCGCGGGGAGGAUGGCGCGCUCGGGGAGGUCGGGGAGAGCUUGAUGGCGACGGAUUUAACGAAGGCGGCCGAUGUCCCAAGGUUGAAGAAGACGAUCAAGGCGAUUUUACAUCUUCGUUUUGGACCAUUUGUUGGAGUUGCUCUUUUACAUCUCCGAUUUGGACCAUCUGUUGGAGUUGAGCAUUUUUUGAAGCUCCAAAACGCACUUUUUGAUGGUCCAUAUUUUACAUCUCCAAUUUUGGACCGCCAAAAUUUGAACCAUCUAUUGAAGAUACUCUAACAUAAACAGAAACAAUUUGCAAAUUAGGAUUUGAAAUCAUCCUUUCUUAAUUAAUCUAAAUCUGUUAGACAAAUGAACAUGCAGAGCAUUUAUUGCACCUGAAUUUACUUUUUUUGCGGGAAUUUUGCACCUGAAUUUACAACUGUCCAUUUAACCACAACCACUAAACGCGCCUGAGCGCCAUUCCUCCGCACUGCCAACAAACCGAAUAUUGCCAGAUGUGCACGGGCAUCAUGGUGCCUGUUAAAAAAAAAUCAUUUUUUACAGCUCAAAAAAAAUUGAAACCUUUUGUAAACACGCACACACACAUAUAUACUAUAUAUGUGCAAAAAAAUUAUAACAUUUUGCUUUCCCACAUAGUGUAAAAAAAAGACAAAUAUGUAUUUUCAAAUGGGACGGAAUUUUUUUUGGCCGGAAUUUUGUUUGUUUGUAUAGCUUUCAAAUUACAUUUCUUUUCGAAACAAAAUUCCAUGGAUCCAUAGUGAAUACAUGGAAGUUUCCACAGAAUUAUUUUCGUUUUUUUACUUUUAAAUAUGGUUUUUGCAAUUUUUUUAAGGGCACCAUGGUGCCCGAGCACACAAACUUCACACUCCAACAAAACGGGCCAUCGAACCACAUGACACAUGUGGUAAGCAAUUCGAACUAUUCAAAAAAAUGGGCCAUCGCACUUGGGAGGGACGAGUGCUUUUAAAAAAACAUUAGAGGAAAGUGUCAAAACUGAUGUCAGAAAUAGUCGUUCCCAGGAGUUUUAACCCCAGGGAGUUUAGUGAUUUAGGUGAUUGUGUUACAUGAUGGUUAAAGAUAAUCAGUGAGAAGACUUUUAUGCUUGCUACAUAUUAACUUACUUUGAUGCUAAUAUAUUCAACUCUUUUUAAUGCUUUUCAGUACAAUCUAUACCAGUUUCAUUUUGGAAUCAACUGAAGACGACGUAAGUAAGAUAUAUUGUAGAGCACCUUGACGAUACACUUUACAAUCCGAAGACAUUUUGAGAGCUUAGACAACGAGUUCGGUCAUAUGGAUUCGUGUGUUCGCCAAUGACAGCCCACUGGACACACCUACCAUGAAGAGCUACUUAGUCAAUGUGGUCAUUUGAACUGUCAAAGCAUCUUAUAUUUAGGAACAGAGGGAGUAAUAUAUAGCGUUCUUUAUAAAAAUUAUACCUAAGUAUCUAUUUCUUUAUGCCUUAAGGAUUUUAUUAUCAAUCUCUAAACCACUCUUAUUUGCAUGGUUUGAAUGCUUGGUUCACUCUUGCUUUUUGCGUCAGCUGUGCAACGGGUCAAAAGUGUUGGAACAAGUUAGGAUCCCAACAAAAAUGCUUUUGGAUGCUAUGAUGCAACAGAUUGGCCUUCCAAAUCAUAGUGUACUCAACACAGAAAGUAAAGGAAUGUUGGUGUCGACGCAACCAUUCAGUUAUGUCCAUCUAAGCACCAACUAAGCAAUGAACUUUCAAGGAAAUCAAUAUCCAUCUAUGUCUACGAAAAUCUCGAAGAAGCUGAAGAUCGGCUGGAAAAUGAAACUAUUAGGUUUAUGGAAGUCUCUUACAACAAAGUGGUGCAAGACUUCAACUAUGAUAAGUUCCAGCUGGUUCAACAAAAAAAUAAAUCUCUAAAACAGGAGCUUAAAGAAAAUAAGUAAUAAUGGACUAUCUAAGCAGCAGUUGGUGCAGUAUUCCGGGCGGGGAUCGCAUGACAGUGAAAGAACUUUACCAUAUAAGAGAUACCAACUUCAUAACAUGAUCAACACUCGAAGACAUCGAUUUUAACCAUACUCUAUCGCAAAUAAGAUAUGUUGCAGAGCUCCUCAACGAUGCGAUUACAAUCAAACGACAUUCAAUAAAAAAAGGGUAUUAUUGGGGACUGGAUGAUGAUAUGGAAGGCAUUUCUGCUUUUGGCAUUGGCAGCCCACCGAACACACCCACCAUGAAGAGUUGCUUAGACAAUGAAGUCAUUUUCGAUACCGAUGACACAUGCAACGAUGAUUCUACCUGAUGUUCAUCACUGCGUAUAUCACUCAUCGUAAGAGAGAUGACCAGACCUAUCUAUAUGAUGCAUCUCUACUUAUGUAGCUUGCUUACUAAAAACAAUGUAAAUAAGCUACCAUAAAUUGUAACGUUGUGUAUUAACAUUAUACCUUAGUAUUUAUUUCCUUAUCUUCCAAUCACUGUCUAAAUAUUCUUACGUGCAUGGUUUUCAAUGCUAGGUUGCUCUCGCCCUUUGCGCCAUCGGCGCAAAGUACUCAUUAUUUCAAUCUGUGUCUGAGUUUUCAUAUCACCACUCUUACAAUACUUGGCUUGCUGCCGGCCUUUACGUCAUUGGCGCAACGGGUCAUCUAGUUCAGUUAAACUCCCUAGAGAACUGGACGAGAUCAACAAAACUUCACAGCAGAUUAAGGCAGAAAUGCAUGAUUACAAACAUAAUAACUCCCCGCAAAAGAAAAAACACAAUAACUCACGGAACAAAAAUAUGUGUAUUAUUCCUUUUCCGAACUGAUAACUAGUACUUGCAUGAAUCAAUAGAUAACUAUUUCAUUAAGCAGUACAGCAAAGAUGCGCGAGUAAAGUACCAUCUUGUGUUAAAUCAUCAAAUACCGACAUGAUAAUAACACACACACAUCCUCUUAUUGUACAAUGACACCGAGGCUGAUGGCCAAGUGGAUGUACACGUACAUGUUUCCAUUUGGCUUUACCAACUCUAGUUUCUGAUGCCUUCUAUUUGGAACCGAUUAUCCUUAGAGCAUCUUCAGCCGUUGGCCUCUCAGGAGGCGUUAAAAAUCACCCCCUGGGGCGCACCGGCGAAAACCGCGUGUUGGGGGGCGUGAUGCCCCCAGUCGCGGCGCCCAUGAUUUAUUUGAAAACCACAAACUAGGCGCAAAUUCAUCCAAACUUCGGCGAGUUCAUACAUAUUUACAAUAUUUUACAAAAAAAAAAGAAAAAAAACGCUACUCGCCGCGGCCCGCCGUCGCCCUCGCCGCCCGCCGCCCUUGAAGCUCUACAUGCCGAGGAGCCUGUAGAACUGCGUGUAGUCGCCGCCACCGCCGCCGCCAUCGUCGUCGUCGUCGCCUCCUCCGCGGCCGCCGUCCCUGCUGCACCCCUCCCAAUGGCGAAUCUAGAGAAAAAAUGAAGGGUGGGCUCAAAGUUUAAGCCGAGAAAAUCGAACGCUCUUUUGAAGAAAAAGCUGCUUAUCUCCUAGUCCUUUUGUACAAAUAAAUUGAAACUUUCCCAGAUUAAUACUGGAAACACGUACUAUAUGCUAGAAUUUUUCUGGAUUUUUUUAGAAAAUAUCAAAUUUUGAACCAAAUUUUGAAUCAGGUGACUAAAAUGGCCAUUAUCUCCUAAUCCUCUUGGCCAAAUAAGCUUAAAAUUUCCCAGCCUACUACUGGAAGCAUGUAGUAUUUGCUGAUUUUUUUCUGGAAUUUUGAAAGAAAAUGGUUUUACCAAUUUAUAGAGACAAUAUGUGCCAAACAGUGCUCAAAUGGACAUGAUUCUCAAGACAAAUACUAGUAGCAUGAUUGACCAACAGCAAAGUUUCAUACAAUCUGCACACCAAUACAUCAAGUACUAGAGAAUCAACCAAAAUAAGGCAAAGACAAGAUACUGGUGUUGCUUCUUACUAACAAUAUUGUAGUUUGUAGAACUCCUCCACAC
rnacentral:lncRNA from 1 species